AACGAACGCUGGCGGCAUGCCUAACACAUGCAAGUCGAACGAGACCUUCGGGUCUAGUGGCGCACGGCUGCGUAACGCGUGGGAACCUGCCCUUAGGUUCGGAAUAACUCCCCGAAAGGGGUGCUAAUACCGGAUAAUGUCUUCGGACCAAAGAUUUAUCGCCUUUGGAUGGGCCCGCGUUGGAUUAGCUAGUUGGUAGGGUAAAAGCCUACCAAGGCGACGAUCCAUAGCUGGUCUGAGAGGAUGAUCAGCCACACUGGGACUGAGACACGGCCACUCCUACGGGAGGCAGCAGUGGGGAAUAUUGGACAAUGGGCGAAAGCCUGAUCCAGCAAUGCCGCGUGAGUGAUGAAGGCCUUAGGGUUGUAAAGCUCUUUUACCCGGGAUGAUAAUGACAGUACCGGGAGAAUAAGCGCCGGCUAACUCCGUG
rnacentral:rRNA from 1 species